rnacentral:rRNA from 1 species
GACGUAGGGCGCGAGCGUUGUCCGGAUUUAUUGGGCGUAAAGAGCUCGUAGGUGGUUUGUCGCGUUGUUCGUGAAAACUCACAGCUUAACUGUGGGCGUGCGGGCGAUACGGGCAGACUGGAGUACUGCAGGGGAGACUGGAAUUCCUGGUGUAGCGGUGGAAUGCGCAGAUAUCAGGAGGAACACCGGUGGCGAAGGCGGGUCUCUGGGCCGAUACUGACGCUGAGGAGCGAAAGCGUGGGGAGCGAACAGG